UAACCAUGCCCUAGCCUUCCCCUUUUCAGCAGCCACACUUCACAUUUUCUCUCAAAAACACCAACCCUCCGCAAGAUGCGGUGACCAGUGCUCUGGGCUUCAAAGUAUGGCCGAUUUUAGCCACAGAUCUCCCUUCUAACUCCGAUUAAGACAGAGCGAAAGGGGACCGACGGCCUAGCAACGAGGUACAGGGUGCGUGCCGCUUGGGUACGGGGCUGUGCUGGCUGCUGAGACGCUGGCAUCGUACGGAGGGUGGGCGUGGCGCGAUGUGGUUGCUGUUUGUGAAGGCUGCGGCGCGAGGACCCCUUUGCCCUAGGGUUUGCUGAAACUUAGCUUGACUUUCGGGCCGUUUGGGUCUAUUCCAGUUAUUGGGCCCUUGUAUUUGGACUAUGGGGCAUUGGGCUGUGGAAUAUUGUAAUAAUUUGGACUGUAAUAGGACAUUAAAUUUUAUUUGGGUUUUACACUUA